GUUAACCCUGUCACAGGUCACUCUGCUCUGUUAAUUGCAUCCCAACCUUCUUCGGCUCUUCGGCAGUGAAAUCGCAGCAGAGGAGACGGUGCAGCUUGGUGCGCAUUGCUCAUUUGUGCCCACAUAGAAAGAAGUGCCAGGAUGCUCAGGACACCGGCUCCCUGGCUUCCGCAGUGCUUGUACAGUCCUGAAUCAGCAUGAGAGCUGUGGAUCUGCGUCCCCUGGCUGCAUGGCUGACUGCGUCUCCAUGGAGGGACCUGUUCUGGAGAAUACUCACGUGUUAACUUGUUUCUUCAGUCUAGGCCUUUCUUGGCCCCCUUGGUUACUCAUUCUGGAUGAUACACCUCUUAUUUCAGUUCAAAUGUCUCACGGAAGAGGCAUUGAAGAAAGAGUGGAUGCUCGUGUUUGUUGGCACCUGGGUCAGUAGCACAAUCCAGAGAGCCAGUAGGGGGUCUCUCCUGGUCCACGGAGGCAGAGGAGCUGUCUGAACGUGCAGAGCCGCCCCUGCCAACCUGGCCCAGUAUCAAGAGCUGCCCCUCACCCGGUGAUCUCUGCAAAUCACUGCUCACCCAGAAGGAAAACCAAUUUACAUUGGGAUGCUCUUCAGGAAGAUUCCUGCUAGCUUAUCUCAGAAGAACAGCAGCCUGUGCGUGAGCCUGUUCCCUUGAGAAUUUCCUCUUCCUUCGGCAGUGUCUUGAAAUGGCCACAUUUUCCAUUUCUGUGACUUCCUGUCAGCUUUUCAAAUGCUCAACUACAAACUAAAGUUAUUCUGGCAUUGACAAUGUGAUCUCAGGAUUUCCACAACUCUAGCUUUCCUCAACAUGAAUAUUGGGAUGAGUUUGGCAGCAGACUGUGUGAUAAGGAGCACUGGCAUGGGAGUCAGAAAGUGUUGUGAACCCUAUAGGGCAAGCGACAUCACCUCUCUCAACCUCACUGUCAUUAACUGUAAGUGAGAGAGUGAAUGAAGGAUGCUUCCAACUGUCAAAUCCUGUAAGUCAAGAGAACCUGUGCUCCAGAGGAGAACAUGUAUAUUGGCAAAAAGCUUCUGCUACACCAUGAACCCCAGAACUGUGAACACGUCCCAGUGGGCAGACAGCUGGCUGCCUACCAAAUCUAUCUUCCCAAUCUUUCAACGUAAUGGUCUAGCCCAGUAUGUGACCUCUCAGUUGGACACUAUAUUUCAAGAGUCCCUUGCUGCACAUUCUCUUCAACCAAGUAAACACCAAGCGUGCAAAGCCAUGUUGUCACCAAUAAGAAGUGAAGUUUUCAUUGAGUCUAUUGAUCUUGGCUUAACAACAUGUGAAAGACAACUUAUUACGCCUGUAAUCCCAGCACUUUGGGAGGACGAGGCGGGCGGAUCAUGAGGUCAAGAGAGCGAGACCAUCCUGGCCAUGGUGAAAUCCCAUCUCUACUAAAAAUACAAAAAUUAGCCAGGCAUGGUGGCACACGCCUGUGGUCCCAGCUACUUGGGAGGCUGAGGCGGAAGAAUCACUUGAACCCAGGAGACAGAAGUUGCAGUGAGCAGAGAUGGUGCCACUGCACUGCAGCCUGGCAACAGAGCAAGACUCCGUCUCAAAAAAAAAAGACAAUUUAUUCAUUGAAUAUUUUAAAUAAUGUUUUCUAAUAUUCCAAAUAUUUUAAACAUUUAAAACUAUUCCUGUUAUUAACCUAUGCUAGUUGAUAGCUUUUUUGUUAACUUUGCUGAGAAAUAAAAGCACAUGCUUAACCACUAAAUAAAUCAGGAUUACAUUGAAUAUGAAUUACAGAGAUUUAAGGACUGCAUACAAAUUACAAAGACUUCACAUGUAUGUGUUCACAAUGUGUUCUUAAAUGUAAGACAGUUUGAUUCUUGAUCAUAUCCAUUCUCCAUCACCUGCACAGAAGUCCUCUUUGCAAUAAGUGAGUAUUUAAACAGUUGCCAGAAUAAUAGGUAUCUUCUGCCUAUUUCACCAAAAUACAGUUUUGUCUGUUAAAACAAAGAAAUACAUUUGUCAGCCAUAAUGAGUUUUAAAGACAUUCUAUGCAUUUGGGUGUGCCUUGAAUUAAGAAAACCAGACAUUUAAAUAGUUGACCUUACAGAGCACAUAAAUUAGAGGGUAAUUACUUAAAUGUUCUUCAGUUUGUGAAAGGAUUUACAACAGGGUUCCUCUAAAUAGCUAACUCUCUAGUGAAUUUAAAUUACUAGUGUGUGUGUCUUAAAAUUAAUUCAUUUUUUUAAAACAUGCCUUUUGCAUAACACAAGGUGUAUUAGAAUUAAGAAACGCUGGUGGGUUUUCCCCUUUGUUAAGCAAGUCUUUAGGUUACGUUCGAACUCAUAUUUACUAACCUUUUUUUGGGGAGGAAGAAUUAGUCAGUAAAAAACGCUGAGCUCAUGUUUGCAUUGUCUCCUUUUCCUGUCUGGAAUAAGAGGCUGGGUCACUAGGGAUGUCCUGGUGGUGUGAGCUUCCUUGGGUCUCCACCGAGGAGUGGGGCCGAGGGGAAGUCAAAUGUACUAUGGAGCCAGUGGCUGCCCUGGGCUGAGCCUUUCUGUGUUGGAGUGGGAGUAGUGAAGGGGGGGAUGGGAAUGAUUCCAGUGGUGAAGACUAUCAAAGAACAUGGAAUGGGAGAAACCACUGACCUCAUUGGAAUCCAGCUCUGUGACCCUGGGUAAGGAUUUAAACCCAUUCUAGCCUUAAUUGUACCAUCAGGCAUGGAAAUUCAGUCAAUGACAAGGAACUGCAUUCUCAAUGUCUCCACCUAUCAUUCACCCCGGUUCCCUCUAAAAGACUAAUCUCAUGAAUGUCAUUCCAAAGAAGGUUGACCUUUUGAAGUCACAGAAAAGUAUCAUGGUUGCUAUCUCGUGGGUGGCUUUUCUUUCUGCCUCUGCCACAGUUUGUUGCUCUAGAGGCUGUGUGCCCUGAUUUUGCUCUUAGUGUAGUCAACUGGACCAGUUCUGCUAUUUUGAACAAAAAGCAUGUCUCAGGAUUGGGUCCCAAUAUCUUUAUUUCCAAACCUUAUUCUGCUACUAAUUACCAAUCCAAAGUGAAGUGUUCAUUGUUCAUUUAUUCCACAAAUAUUUACACGUCUUCUACUUUAUGUCAGUUACUGGUAUGGUCACUGGGGAUAUCAAUGAGACAGAUAAAAUGUCGGUUCUAGUUGGGGAGAUAAGCAAUGGUAAAUAAAACAGAUACAUAACUAUUCUUGGUGAAACUUUAAAAGUAAGGAAAAUGUAUUGUUUUUUAUAUAAGAGUUUUAAUGUAAAAAAAUUGUCCUAUGCCAACAUUAUAUCUUUCUUAGUAUUUUAGAAUCAAAAUUUUAUUUAUAUUUAUUUAUAAUUGUUAUAUCAGAUGAUGAUUAAAAAAUUAGCACAGUUAAAAGUUGGUAUGGUAGCUGGACUCCAAGAUUAUCUUCAGUGAUCUCUACAUGGUGAUAUUUGCAUGACAGUAUAGGAUUGGUACCAGGGCUGGUCUGUGUGAACAACAGAAUAUAGCAGAAGUGAUUAUAGUCAAUGCUGAGACUGAUUUCUGAAAGGCACUAUUUUCUAUUGCGGUCACUCUCUCUUGGAUCACUAGAUCUGGAAGAAAUAAGCUGCCAUUUUGUGUGCAGUCCUACAGUGAAGAACAGCUAGGGAAGAAACAUGGGCCACUGCCAACAGCUGUGUGGGUGAGCAAGGGAAAAAACCUCUCCAGCUCCAGUCAAACCUUCAGAUGAUACAGCCUGAGCUGACAUCUCAGCUGCAACUUGAUGAGGCACCCUGAGUCGGAUCCACCCAGCUGGGCUACUCCUGAAUUCCUGACCUAUGCAAUAAUAGAUGUUUAUGCUUUAGGCCACUAAGGUUUGGGGCAGUUUGUUAUUAUGCAGCAAUAGAUUGCUGAGAGUUGGCAACCCGACUGCUGUAUUACCUGCAAAUAAUGAAAACCCAGAAGUAUAGCAACCACCAUCCUAUAUGAAAAUAAAUUCUCUUGACAGAGCAAUCUGGGCAAAAUGAUACUUGUUUGUACUACCAGUUAUUCUGUGUGUUCUGUUUCUUGCACUUGUCAAUGUUACCACUGUUUGGACAUAUUACACACACUUAUGCAUCACCUGUAACUUCAGUGUGGUUGCUUCCCUGGGCUGAUGUAUCCUCCUGUCUCCAGUUCCUUUAUCCAGAUUCUUUUCCUUCGUUUAAGUCACAUUGUAAUGCAUCUAAUAGCAGUUACUGGGUGGCCAACUAAUAUGUUUUUUAAAAGGUAAUUUUCCUAGAGAAUCUGAGAUGUAGAAGGAAGACUAUUUUAUGCCUUUUUUUUUUUAUUAAUACUACCCUCUUUCACUCUUAGAAGUGUCCAGCUUUGGAAAAGUCUACGACCAUCCUAGCUAAAAGUAAAAAUCCCAUCAAUUUAUUAUAGGUUGUCUCAUUUUGCAGAUUUUUAGGGCAGGGACUAGAGUCCAUUUUUGAAAGUGAGUGAUAAGAUAACUAAACUUGUCUACAUCUCCUCUAUGUAGUGAUAUAUCCUUUCUGAUGCCUGUGUGGAGAGAGAUAAGGCUCCCUUGGCCCAUGGAGUUCCUAAGCAAACAUCAGCAUUAGAGCUCAGAGUGGUAGCUGGUUGCCUAUCACUGCCACAACAGUAUUAACCACAGCCAUGAUCAUUAAUGAGCUCCUUUGCUCCCUGAAGUGCUGAGGGAGAUGCAAUGAGAGUGGUUCUUCUCUUGCAGCUUAGAGGCUGAAGCAGGUGUCUUUGAAGACACCUCCAGCUUCCACAGUAAGCUCUGAGAGACAGGCUCAACUGUAGAAACCAUUAUCAGCAGGUGUGUCCUGUGAGGUCUGCCCUUGGACAACCUGGCUGUGGGCAGACUCUCAACAGGUGGUCAGACCUGGACUUUUUUGUGAAAUUAGGAUGGUUCUGAUUUCAGCCACUACAGCCAAGGAAGAUUCCCCUCAAACUUAGGUUUUAUGGCAUGGAAAAUUAGGCGGCUACUGGAGAGGCAGUGAACACAGGGAAAAAUAGCCCAGGAUUUGAAGUGGGACCCAUCUGGAUUUCAGUUCUUCUGACAAUAACCGUUACUGGUUGUAGACCUUGGCCAAACUGCUUCACGUCUCUGAGCCUCAGUUUCUUUCUUUUGUACUAAUGCCAACUUCCAAGUGUUGUUAUGAGGAUUAAUUAGAAGAAGUGUAAAGCACAGAACACAGUAUGAUUACAGCAUACUGGUUAUUUCUAAAUAAUGAAUUUGGAUGAGGGAAGUCAUGAAGAGUCUCUUCAAUGUGCUUCUCUUCUCUCUGCAUCACUUUUAGUUCAGAGUCUUCGAGGUUGCUGCCUCCCUCUGCCUGGGACAUCUUACCUCUCUUUGCCUGUCUAUAUCCUGUCUAUCCCUCAAGCCGAUUUCUCUAUUCCCUAUUCAUUUUUCAAUCUCUCCAUUUCUAUCUCUGUGACUCAUCUAGAUUGAGCCCUCAUAGCCUGGAAUUUAAAAAUUGUAUGCAAUGUUAGAAUCUGUGUCUCAGUCCUCUUCACGCUGCUAGAAUGUCUUCAAGCAUAAGGGUUGUGUCUUGCAUGGGGCAGGGUUCAGGCUAUGUGAAAAAUAAAUACUAAUUGGUUGUCUUUUUUUAAAAAAAAAAUGGAGCUGUGAAUGUAGAAAAAAUGCUUAUAUUUCUGGAAGCUCCCCAAUUCUUAUGAGGAGAAUGUGGAUGUUUGUACCAGCUUCUUCCCUGAUAGCAUCCUGUAUUAGUCUGUUCUCAUGCUGCUAAUAAAGACAUACUGGAGACUGCAUAAUUUAUAAAGGAAAAACAGGCUUAUUGGACUAACAAUUCCACAUGACUGGGAGGCCUCACAAUCAUGGUGGAAGGUGAAGGAGGAGCAAAGACACGUCUUACAUGGCAGCAGGCAAGAGAGUAUGUACAGGGGAACUGCCUUUUAUAAAACCAUCAGGUCUCAGAAGACUUACUGUCAUGAGAAAAGCAUGGGAAAAUCCCACCCCCCCAUGAUUCAAUUACCUCCCACCAGGUCCCUCCCAUGACACCUAGGGAUUAUAGGUGCUACAAUCCAAGGUGAGAUUCAUGUGAGGACACAGUCAAACCAUAUUACAUU
rnacentral:lncRNA from 1 species